rnacentral:rRNA from 1 species
GUGCCAGCAGCCGCGGUAAUACGUAGGUGGCAAGCGUUAUCCGGAAUUAUUGGGCGUAAAGCGCGCGUAGGCGGUUUUUUAAGUCUGAUGUGAGAGCCCACGGCUCAACCGUGGAGGGUCAUUGGAAACUGGAAAACUUGAGUGCAGAAGAGGAAAGUGGAAUUCCAUGUGUAGCGGUGAAAUGCGCAGAGAUAUGGAGGAACACCAGUGGCGAAGGCGGCUUUCUGGUCUGUAACUGACGCUGAUGUGCGAAAGCGUGGGGAUCAAACAGGAUUAGA